rnacentral:rRNA from 1 species
GCUCAACCGGGGAGGGUCAUUGGAAACUGGGGAACUUGAGUGCAGAAGAGGAGAGUGGAAUUCCACGUGUAGCGGUGAAAUGCGUAGAGAUGUGGAGGAACACCAGUGGCGAAGGCGACUCUCUGGUCUGUAACUGACGCUGAGGCGCGAGAGCGUGGGGAGCGAACAGGAUUAGAUACCCUGGUAGUCCACGCCGUAAACGAUGAGUGCUAAGUGUUAGAGGGUUUCCGCCCUUUAGUGCUGCAGCAAACGCAUUAAGCACUCCGCCUGGGGAGUACGGUCGCAAGACUGAAACUCAAUGGAAUUGACGGGGGCCCGCACAAGCGGUGGAGCAUGUGGUUUAAUUCGAAGCAACGCGAAGAACCUUACCAGGUCUUGACAUCCUCUGACAACCCUAGAGAUAGGGCUUCCCCUUCGGGGGCAGAGUGACAGGUGGUGCAUGGUUGUCGUCAGCUCGUGUCGUGAGAUGUUGGGUUAAGUCCCGCAACGAGCGCAACCCUUGAUCUUAGUUGCCAGCAUUCAGUUGGGCACUCUAAGGUGACUGCCGGUGACAAACCGGAGGAAGGUGGGGAUGACGUCAAAUCAUCAUGCCCCUUAUGACCUGGGCUACACACGUGCUACAAUGGGCAGAACAAAG